rnacentral:rRNA from 1 species
UUAAGCGACUAAGCGUACACGGUGGAUGCCCUGGCAGUCAGAGGCGAUGAAGGACGUGCUAAUCUGCGAUAAGCGUCGGUAAGGUGAUAUGAACCGUUAUAACCGGCGAUUUCCGAAUGGGGAAACCCAGUGUGUUUCGACACACUAUCAUUAACUGAAUCCAUAGGUUAAUGAGGCGAACCGGGGGAACUGAAACAUCUAAGUACCCCGAGGAAAAGAAAUCAACCGAGAUUCCCCCAGUAGCGGCGAGCGAACGGGGAGCAGCCCAGAGCCUGAAUCAGUGUGUGUGUUAGUGGAAGCGUCUGGAAAGGCGCGCGAUACAGGGUGACAGCCCCGUACACAAAAACGCACAUACUGUGAGCUCGAUGAGUAGGGCGGGACACGUGGUAUCCUGUCUGAAUAUGGGGGGACCAUCCUCCAAGGCUAAAUACUCCUGACUGACCGAUAGUGAACCAGUACCGUGAGGGAAAGGCGAAAAGAACCCCGGCGAGGGGAGUGAAAAAGAACCUGAAACCGUGUACGUACAAGCAGUGGGAGCACGCUUAGGCGUGUGACUGCGUACCUUUUGUAUAAUGGGUCAGCGACUUAUAUUCUGUAGCAAGGUUAACCGAAUAGGGGAGCCGAAGGGAAACCGAGUCUUAACUGGGCGUUAAGUUGCAGGGUAUAGACCCGAAACCCGGUGAUCUAGCCAUGGGCAGGUUGAAGGUUGGGUAACACUAACUGGAGGACCGAACCGACUAAUGUUGAAAAAUUAGCGGAUGACUUGUGGCUGGGGGUGAAAGGCCAAUCAAACCGGGAGAUAGCUGGUUCUCCCCGAAAGCUAUUUAGGUAGCGCCUCGUGAAUUCAUCUCCGGGGGUAGAGCACUGUUUCGGCAAGGGGGUCAUCCCGACUUACCAACCCGAUGCAAACUGCGAAUA